CUUAUAAGAAGAGGCAAAUCUGGACACAGACACAUGGAGUAUGCCAUGAGUCUACAGAGGCAGAGGUCUAGAAACAAGUGUGCCAUCUGAUAGAAACAUUUCCUUGGAUAUUAUAGCCUCUAAACUAGUAGAGGUCAAAACUGUGAGAAGAACAAGGACAUUUUUGCAAGAGGACACAUCAUCAAAUUCCACAUUAUAAAUUCACAUUACAGAAGAUGCACCAAGAAUCAAUGUCUGAUACCUCACCUCUUAACAUCUAUGAAGUUGAUGAUUUGACACUGGGACCUCUGCCAAUGUUGCCACAGAACAGUUCAAUGCUACUGUGACCAUGCUUGCCACCAAAAGAGCAGAAGUAAUGGGAGCACAGCUUCACUCUUCUGCAUCCAAAUGUCAUAUCCUAAUUUUACUUCUGCCAGGCAAGCCUUCCUGUCCAAUUUGAAUUUUUUCAUUUGGCAACCAAGAAUUCAAUAUCGUAUUAUGUUUGCAAUGGAUCACCCCAGGUUAUCUUGCUCCUAAGGCCCUUAUUUGUGUCUCUUCAUUGUUCUUUGCUAAAAGUUAUGCCUCUCUCUCUCUUUUCUUUGGUGGGGGGGGAGCCUCUCUCUUUUUAAAUAACUUUCCAAAUGAAGUUUUCCUAUGCCAGCUCUUUGAGAAAUUGGUCACCUAAUUCCAUGGACAACACUUUGUAUCACUAAUUAUCUUCAGCCAAAC